rnacentral:rRNA from 1 species
UACGUAGGGUGCGAGCGUUAAUCGGAUUUACUGGGCGUAAAGCGUGCGCAGGCGGUCCGCUAAGACAGGUGUGAAAUCCCUGGGCUUAACCUAGGAAUUGCGCUUGUGACUGGUGGGCUAGAGUACGGUAGAGGGGGGUGGAAUUCCUGGUGUAGCAGUGAAAUGCGUAGAGAUCAGGAAGAACACCGAUGGCGAAGGCAGCCCCCUGGGCCUGUACUGACGCUCAGGCACGAAAGCGUGGGGAGCAAACAGG